GAUGAAGAACGUAGCGAAAUGCGAUAAGUAGUGUGAAUUGCAGAAUUCAGUGAAUCAUCGAAUCUUUGAACGCUCAUUGCGCCGCUUGGUAUCCCGAGGGGCAUGCCUGUUCGAGCGUCAUUUCACCACUCAAGCCUGGCUUGGUGUUGGGCGACGUCCUCUUUGGGGACGCGCCUCGAAACGCUCGGCGGCGUGGCACCGGCUUUAAGCGUAGCAGAAUCUUUCGCUUUGGAAGUCGGGGCCCCGUCUGCCGGAAGACCUGCUCGCAAGGUUGACCUCGGAUCAGGCAGGGAUACCCGCUGAACUUAAGCAUAUCAAUAAGCGGAGGA
rnacentral:misc_RNA from 1 species